rnacentral:rRNA from 1 species
AAGCUCUUUCAGUUGAGAAGAAAAAGUCGUGACUAAUAAUCAUGAUUCAUGACGGUAUCAACAGAAGAAGCACCGGCUAACUACGUGCCAGCAGCCGCGGUAAUACGUAGGGUGCAAGCGUUAAUCGGAAUUACUGGGCGUAAAAGGGUGCGCAGGCGGUUCUGUAAGUCAGAUGUGAAAUCCCCGGGGCUUAACCUGGGAACUGCGUUUGAAAACUGCAGAGCUAGAGUGCAGCAGAGGGAGGUGGAAUUCCAUGUGUAGCAGUGAAAUGCGUAGAGAUAUGGAAGAACAUCGAUGGCGAAGGCAACCUCCUGGGCUAGCACUGACGCUCAUGCACGAAAGCGUGGGGAGCAAACAGGAUUAGAUACCCUGGUAGUCCACGCCCUAAACUAUGUCAACUAGUUGUCGGGUCUUAUUAGACUUGGUAACGUAGCUAACGCGUGAAGUUGACCGCCUGGGGAGUACGGUCGCAAGAUUAAAACUCAAAGGAAUUGACGGG